AAAAGGAUUCCAAAUGUUGGAUUAGCCAGGUUGCAGCGAUCCCUGGAUGGCACAUUUCUCCUCCUUCUUAGCCAUUUUGCCUUUGUUUUGCCCCAGGGUUCUCUCUAGAUGUUCAUCCUCCUCUUCAGCUCUGCAAGGAUACAUAGAGAAUGCUCAGGAGCACAGCCCCCUGCAUGGCUAAAUCAGUGCCUGACCAGCGGCUACAUUAGUGGGCUCUACAUGUAAAGGGGUUAGACAGAGACUUGCCCCCUAACAAUGAGGCUGCUAAUCCCCGUUAACCUGUUACUGACCCCCCAAUGGGGCCCCCACCAAAGGUGUGACCUGGAGACUGGGUGAAAACAAGCAAAACAGCAGAGCUUACAAUUGAUCUGACAGUUACACUGAGCUUCACUCCAGGGUUCUCUCUAGAUGUUCAUCCUCCUCUUCAGCUCUGCAAGGAUACAUAGAGAAUGCUCAGAAGCACAGCCCCCUGCAUGGCUAAAUCAGUGCCUGACCAGCGGCUACAUUAGUGGGCUCUACAUGUAAAGGGGUUAGACAGAGACUUGCCCC